AGUCGGACGGAUUCCGGGUAAGUAGCGAUACUUAUUCGGGGUUAGUGGCGGACGGGUGAGUAACACGUAGGUAACCUACCCCUAAGAGGGGGACAACUCCGCGAAAGCGGGGCUAAUACCCCAUAAGACCACGGGUUGGGAUGUCUGUGGUAAAAGAAGCGAUUCGCUUAGGGAUGGGCCUGCGGCCUAUCAGGUAGUUGGUGGGGUAAUGGCCCACCAAGCCGAAGACGGGUAGCCGGGCUGAGAGGUUGGACGGCCACACUGGAACUGAGACACGGUCCAGACUCCUACGGGAGGCAGCAGUCGAGAAUCUUUCACAAUGGGCGAAAGCCUGAUGGAGCGACGCCGCGUGGGGGAUGAAGGGCUUCGGCCUGUAAACCCCUGUCAUCCGGGACAAAAGCGUCCGGCCUAAUACGCCGGAUGUCUGAUGGUACCGGAAGAGGAAGGGACGGCUAACUCUGUGCCAGCAGCCGCGGUAAUACAGAGGUCCCGAGCGUUGUUCGGAUUCACUGGGCGUAAAGGGUGCGUAGGCGGUCGGGUGAGUCUGAUGUGAAAUCCCGCAGCUCAACUGCGGAAGUGCAUUGGAUACUACCCGGCUAGAGGGUGGGAGAGGGGACUGGAAUUCCCGGUGUAGCGGUGAAAUGCGUAGAUAUCGGGAGGAACGCCGGUGGCGAAGGCGAGUCCCUGGAACACUCCUGACGCUGAGGCACGAAAGCUAGGGGAGCAAACAGGAUUAGAUACCCUGGUAGUCCUAGCCCUAAACGGUGUACGUUUGCCGUGGGCGGAUUCGACCCCGUCCGUGGCGUAGCUAACGCGUUAAACGUGCCGCCUGGGGAGUACGGCCGCAAGGUUGAAACU
rnacentral:rRNA from 1 species